rnacentral:rRNA from 1 species
UCCAGACUCCUACGGGAGGCAGCAGUGGGGAAUAUUGCACAAUGGGCGCAAGCCUGAUGCAGCCAUGCUGCGUGUAUGAAGAAGGCCUUCGGGUUGUAAAGUCCUUUCAGCGGGGAGGAAGGCGAUAAGGUUAAUAACCUUGUCGAUUGACGUUACCCACAGAAGAAGCACCGGCUAACUCCGUGCCAGCAGCCGCGGUAAUACGGAGGGUGCAAUCGUUAAUCGGAAUUACUGGGCGUAAAGCGCACGCAGGCGGUCUGUCAAGUCGGAUGUUAAAUCCCCGGGCUCAACCUGGGAACUGCAUUCGAAACUGGCAGGCUGGAGUCUUGUAGAGGGGGGUAGAAUUCCAGGGGUAGCGGUGAAAUGCGUAGAGAUCUGGAGGAAUACCGGUGGCGAAGGCGGCCCCCUGGACAAAGACUGACGCUCAGGUGCGAAAGCGUGGUGAGCAAACAGGAUUAGAUACCCGGGUAC